rnacentral:rRNA from 1 species
GACGAACGCUGGCGGCGUGCCUAAUACAUGCAAGUCGAACGAGAGCGACCGGUGCUUGCACUGGUCAAUCUAGCGGCGAACGGGUGAGUAACACGUGGGUAACCUGCCCAUCAGAGGGGGAUAACAUUCGGAAACGGAUGCUAAAACCGCAUAGGUCUUCGAACCGCAUGGUUUGAAGAGGAAAAGAGGCGCAAGCUUCUGCUGAUGGAUGGACCCGCGGUGCAUUAGCUAGUUGGUGAGGUAACGGCUCACCAAGGCCGUGAUGCAUAGCCGACCUGAGAGGGUGAUCGGCCACAUUGGGACUGAGACACGGCCCAAACUCCUACGGGAGGCAGCAGUAGGGAAUCUUCCGCAAUGGACGCAAGUCUGACGGAGCAACGCCGCGUGAGUGAAGAAGGUUUUCGGAUCGUAAAACUCUGUUGUUAGAGAAGAAUAAGUGCUAGAGUAACUGUUAGCGCCUUGACGGUAUCUAACCAGAAAGCCACGGCUAACUACGUG